CCGCUCUCGGGGAGCCUGGUCGGC
rnacentral:piRNA from 1 species